CCAAAGCCUUCUCUUCUCCAAGCUAAGCAAUCCCAGUUUCCUCAACCUUUCCUCAUAGGAGAGGGGCUCCAGCCCUCUGAUCAUCUUAGUGGCCCUCCCCUCUGGACUUGCCCCAGACUGCAGCAGGAAUGACAAGCUCCAGUAGAGCCUUGCUUGCGGAUGCUGUCGUGAACUCGGGGUCCUGAAGCAGGAAGAAUAGCAAACAAACAACCCAAAGAGCUGCAGAGAGCACUUUAUGCACACUGUUGCAUUGGACUGCUCAAGACUUCAAAAAUAGUGACAGCUGACAAGGUCAUUAAGCCUUAGGGUCUUUUUUAUUCCAGAAUAGCGUAGCUUUAUUUGCCUCCCUGGUUUUAACCGGAAGAGUUGGGUGGUGCAUACGUGGGCCACUUUCGUGCCCCCACUUUUGAUACAUUUGGCGUUGAUUUUUCUUGCUACUCUAGACAUCACAACCAACAUCCUCAUUAGAAGCAAAAUAAGAGCAUAAAUAACCUAAUGGGGUUAUUAGCCCUGGAUUGCUUCAUACAGAAUGAAGUAAAGCAAGCAUGAUAUUAAAAAGAACAGAGCAGGAAUACAAAGGGAGGGAGAGAGAGAGAGAGAGAUAGAGAUCAGAUAGAAUUGAUUAGUUCCACAAGUAAACUAAGAGAUUAUGACACUGAAGUGACUGCACUACUGAGAGGUUAUUAGAAAAUGAGAGUCAUUUGCAGCUGCUGGCAAGACCAGAAACAACAACGGUGGUGAGAGAGACACAGAAAUCCCAGGGAAGCAGAACUUCAGGCUUCAGAUUUGCUGAAUUUGAUUUAAAAAAACUCAAGAGUUCGGCUGGUGGAGCAAUCUGACACUGGAGAUUGCCAGAACUGCUGGAAGCCACGAGCACCUCUCGGAACGGGAUGCUUGCAAUUAUGAUUUAUGUGUUUGGAUGGGAUACGCAGCUGUUCUUUGAGGCCAGGAAGAAAUUUGCUUUAAAUCUGAAGCCUUCCACAGAUAAUCUGCUUCAGAGUGCUGAUCUGUAUGCUUUGGAAAUGUUACGUUAUUUAUAUGAAAUAUAAAAAAAUUCAUAAUUUUAAGGUUUUACUCCUACAAGACAAGAGAUGGUGGAGCCAUCAUCAGAACACGGCAAGAAAUCUCUGGCCAGAGACUGGUACCACAGAGCUCUGCUUUAUGUGAUCUUCAGCAAAAGGAAAGCAGCUCUGUCCAGAGGAGCACUCUGGAAACAUCACCCUGAUGAGGAGAGAGCUGGUACCCCUUUAGCAUUUCAUGUGCCACCCUAAUCUUGGCUGCAAAUCUACAAAUGAGGAUUUCAACCCGGUCACCACUGAAAGUACCAACUCACUUCAUAAAAGACUUAGAACCAGCAAGGAGUCCUUAUGUGACACACUGAUAGCACAGGAACUUUUCUGAACAGGGUGCAGAAUUCUGAGUUAAUGAACUGGAAAAACCAUCUGCUGGUCCAAAUGCUGCGCUUGUGCUUUCAGCAUGAAAAUUACUGAAGUAAUAAUACUUUUGCCUAUCCCGUGUCAGUGUGGGAUAGACUUGGCAGUGCCCGUGAAGAGAUAGACCCUUACAAUGCAGGAAUUACCAGCCUGGGUUUGCCAAGCCCCAACCUGUUUCCAGCACCACCCUUCUGCAGAAUUCCCUGCCUCUUUCUUGUCCCCUUCCCACUCUUCCACUUCAUUCACCUUGGAGGCAUUAGACAGGCACCCCUCACUCGGCUCCUCUGAGCCUGGAAGACAACCAUAACUCCCUACUGAUCAGGAGCAGUGAGAAUUAAUGAAAAUUUAGUUAACUAAAUUAACUAAUGCACUCCGAACCACUUAGAUGCAAAUGCAGAGCUGAAGUAGAGCUCUAUUGCCUUCAAAAGGAUGAUCUAAACUGCAGAAGCCCUACUCAGCUCAUCUGAGACCAUGCUAGCCUUGCCAGCAUGAGGCUGGCUCUGCAGGUGGCCCGGCAGGUUGCUGUGAUAAAGAGCCAUUCAUCCUGCUGCAGGGCCAGCAAGAUUUACCAAGACAACAUUGCUUGUAAAGAAAACAGUAAAACUACCUCCUGGGAAAGAGCACAGCGUACAGUGGGAGAGUUAGGACUAUCUGCAGCAGAAUUACAUCGUCUAGCAAGAGCACCUGGAAGAGUAGAGAGAACUGCCCUAGGAUGUUUAAAUGGCAGAGUCUGACCACUGAUAGUGAACUUGUGGGGAUUCAGGAUCAUAAUAUCUGCAUUUGUCUCAGAAAUGUGAACGUGACAUUUGAAACCGCCGAAUGAAAAUGACAGACUUUAACCUGGAUUUCCCUAAAUUGGAAUAGAUGGUGCAUUUCAUGCUAGAAAUGUUCUGACCAUUAUCUGCUUCUGUGUUUAUUACAUUUUGAUGUGCCUCUGGUAAUGGCUUUAAUAAACUGCCUGGAACAAA